AUUGAACGCUGGCGGCAGGCUUAACACAUGCAAGUCGAGCGAGCGGCGGACGGGUGAGUAAUGUCUGGGACACUGCCUGAUGGAGGGGGAUAACUACUGGAAACGGUAGCUAAUACCGCAUACUAUCGGAUGAACCCAUAUGGGAUUAGCUAGUAGGUGGGGUAAAGGCUCACCUAGGCGACGACCUCUAGCUGGUCUGAGAGGAUGAUCGGCCACACUGGGACUGGGACACGGCCCAGACUCCUACGGGAGGCAGCAGUGGGGAAUAUUGCACAAUGGGCGCAAGCCGGAUGAAGCAAUGCCGGGUGUAUGAGGAAGGCCUUAGGGUUGUAAAGUACUUUCAGCGAGGAGGCGUUACCCGCAGAAGAAGCACCGGCUAACUCCGUGCCAGCAGCCGCGGUAAUUC
rnacentral:rRNA from 1 species